rnacentral:rRNA from 1 species
AUUGAACGCUGGCGGCAGGCCUAACACAUGCAAGUCGAGCGGAUGAAGGGAGCUUGCUCCUGGAUUCAGCGGCGGACGGGUGAGUAAUGCCUAGGAAUCUGCCUGGUAGUGGGGGAUAACGUCCGGAAACGGGCGCUAAUAUCGCAUACGUCCUGAGGGAGAAAGUGGGGGAUCUUCGGACCUCACGCUAUCUGAUGAGCCUAGGUCGGAUUAGCUAGUUGGUGGGGUAAAGGCCUACCAAGGCGACGAUCCGUAACUGGUCUGAGAGGAUGAUCAGUCACACUGGAACUGAGACACGGUCCAGACUCCUACGGGAGGCAGCAGUGGGGAAUAUUGGACAAUGGGCGAAAGCCUGAUCCAGCCAUGCCGCGUGUGUGAAGAAGGUCUUCGGAUUGUAAAACACUUUAAGUUGGGAGGAAGGGCAGUAAGUUAAUACCUUGCUGUUUUGACGUUACCAACAGAAUAAGCACCGGCUAACUUCGUG